rnacentral:sRNA from 1 species
GCCGUGAGGUGUUGCCUUAAGUGGCGCAACGAGCGCAACCCCUGUCCUUAGUUGCCAGCGGGUAAAGCCGGGAACUCUAGGGAGACUGCCGGUGCCAAACCGGAGGAAGGUGGGGAUGACGUCAAGUCAUCAUGCCCCUUAUGUCCAGGGCUGCACGCAUGCUACAAUGCGCGGUACAAAGGGCUGCGAUCCCGCAAGGGGGAGCGAAUCCCAAAAAGCCGCGCUCAGUUCGGAUCGGGGUCUGCAACCCGACCCCGUGAAGUCGGAGUCGCUAGUAAUCGCAGAUCAGCAAUGCUGCGGUGAAUAUGUUCCCGGGCCUUGUACACACCGCCCGUCACGUCAUGAAAGCUGGCAACACCCGAAGCCGGUGGGCCAACCGCAAGGAGGCAGCCGUCGAAGGUGGGGUUGGUGAUUGGGACGAAGUCGUAACAAGGUAGCCGUACCGGAAGGUGCGGCUGGAUCACCUCCUUUCUAGGGAGAUCCGAGUCUCGGCCUUUUGGUGGGGUCGAGGCGUUGAUGGCUCCUAGGGUUGAUCGCUCGGUCGACUCGAGUUUCCCCGCCAGGUGGAGCUCGCCGAACCAGUCCGAAGGGACCGGGUCGGAGACCGCAAGCGACCUGGAAAGAACACCGAACCCACUCAAUCAUCCGAACCGGAAUUCCUGUCACUCUUCAAGGGUCAAGGUGCAGCCCGUCCGCGGCGACGACCGUGUCGUCGGACCCAGGCACGGCAGCCACCGCGGCGGGCGUUUAGCUCAGCUGGUUAGAGCACUGCCCUGAUAAGGCAGAGGUCUUUGGUUCGAGUCCAGAAACGCCCACCAUCACCGUCCACGUGACGUCGGGGACGUAGCUCAGCUGGCAGAGCAUCUCCUUUGCAAGGAGAGGGUCAGGAGUUCGAGUCUCCUCGUCUCCACCACUCAGCCGCUCGAAGACCAACCAAUCGAACAGCUCGGGUCCCAUCCCCGAGGCCACCAGUCAAUGUCAACCGAGUCCUGGCGCGCAACGCACCCCUGAUCCGUGUCCCUUCACCCACAUGGGCGGAAGGCCACCGACCAGCGGAUCGCUGGGCGAUGGACGCGUCUCGCGUUCGUCAGAGGCUCGCUUCGAGCGAGCCGCACCUUAACAACUGGAUAUGUUUCGGCAGAUUGAAGAUCUUCGAUUUCGCCGAGUAGUCAAGGAAAUGAUCCCGAUCGAUCCCAUCCGUCACUGGCCACCUGGUCAGAGGCUGGAGGGGGUCAAGCUACAAAGGGCACGGGGUGGAUGCCUUGGCGCCAAGAGCCGAUGAAGGACGUGGCAGGCUGCGAAAAGCUCCGGGGAGUCGCGAGCAGACUUUGAUCCGGAGAUGU